CCUACGGGAGGCAGCAGUGAGGAAUAUUGGUCAAUGGGCGGAAGCCUGAACCAGCCAAGUAGCGUGCAGGAUGACGGCCCUACGGGUUGUAAACUGCUUUUAUACGGGAAUAACGCGCCUUACGUGUAGGGCUUUGCAUGUACCGUAUGAAUAAGGACCCGCUAAUUCCGUGCCAGCAGCCGCGGUAAUACGGAAGGUCCGGGCGUUAUCCGGAUUUAUUGGGUGUAAAGGGAGCGUAGGCCGCAUGUCAAGCGUGCUGUGAAAUGGCCGGGCUCAACCCGGGCCUUGCAGCGCGAACUGGGGUGCUUGAGUCCGCGGAAAGCAGGCGGAAUUCGUCGUGUAGCGGUGAAAUGCUUAGAUAUGAAGAAGAACCCCGAUUGCGAAGGCAGCUUGCUGCAGCGGAACUGACGCUGAUGCUCGAAAGCGAGGGUAUCGAACAGGAUUAGAUACCCCAGUAGUC
rnacentral:rRNA from 1 species